UAAUAGAAUGUAAAAGAGCAUGGGAUCUGAGACCGAGACAACAAACAAAGAGUUAAGAGAGAGAAAGAGAGACAUAGUUAGAGAGAGAGAAGAGACACCGUUCGGUGCUCCGCUGAAUACAGUUGUGGCCCCAGCGCUCCGGCUAAAGAAGAAAAGAUUUGGAAAUGCUGCUAAAGGGCUUGCUCAGCGAGUCAGAUUGGCUAAGCAAGGCUCAUCCGCUUAACGAGGAAGUCAGCUUGCUAAGCGAGUACAAAAUCCUAGAGAAUGUUGAGUCAGAGAGCAGCGCGCAGCCAACCCGCCCAGCGAGGAUGUUGUCUCUUCUCGCGCUUAGCGCACAACCACUGAUUCUCGCUCAGCUAGACAUGCUCGCUGAGCACGCCUUCAUAAGCUGAGAAGCCCAAAAGUCUUUAAAACACUGGAAAAAGAGGGGAAAUGAAGCGUUAAGCAACGUGGGAAGGAAGGAACAAGGCACCAAGGCUGAAGAGAAGACAUUUUCUUCACAUCUUUACUUUACCAUUUCAUUCCUACAUCAUUUUUACCCUUGUAUUGAGUCCUCCUUGCUAAUGGAGGGCUACACACUUCAUUGUUGGGGAGUUUUUCCACUGAGUACUCUUGAUGUAAAAACUCUAACUAUCUAUUUAAUAUUAUUGCUAGUGUUCUCUGCUUC